rnacentral:rRNA from 1 species
UACGUAGGGUGCAAGCGUUGUCCGGAAUUAUUGGGCGUAAAGAGCUCGUAGGCGGUCUGUUACGUCUGCUGUGAAAACCCGGGGCUUAACCCUGGGCUUGCAGUGGAUACGGGCAGACUAGAGGCAGGUAGGGGAGAAUGGAAUUCCCGGUGUAGCGGUGAAAUGCGCAGAUAUCGGGAGGAACACCGGUGGCGAAGGCGGUUCGCUGGGACGUUACUGACGCUGAGACGCGAAAGCGUGGGGAGCAAACAGG